UCUUAUGUACAUGCCUACAAUGUCAAUGCACCUGAUCCCAUUAUAGCUUUGUAGUUAAGAGUGCUUGGGCUAGAGUAGUACUAGGCUGGGUGACCUCCCAAGAAGUCUUAGUGUUUUACAUGCC
rfam:Picea glauca, whole genome shotgun sequence.